CUACGGGAGGCAGCAGUGAGGAAUAUUGCACAAUGGGGGGAACCCUGAUGCAGCAACGCCGCGUGGAGGAUGACGCAUUUCGGUGUGUAAACUCCUUUUAUAUGUCAAGAAAAUGACGGUAGCAUAUGAAUAAGCGCCGGCUAACUCCGUGCCAGACGAGCCGCGGUAAUACGGAGGGCGCAAGCGUUACUCGGAAUCACUGGGCGUAAAGGACGCGUAGGCGGGUUGAAAAGUCAGGUGUGAAAGCCUACAGCUUAACUGUAGAACUGCACUUGAAACUCUCAACCUAGAGUAUGGGAGGGGCAGAUGGAAUUAGUGGUGUAGGGGUAAAAUCCGUAGAUAUCACUAGGAAUACCUAAAGCGAAGGCGAUCUGCUGGAACAUUACUGACGCUAAGGCGUGAAAGCGUGGGGAGCAAACAGGAUUAGACACCCCCGUAGUC
rnacentral:rRNA from 1 species